UACGUAGGGUGCGAGCGUUAAUCGGAAUUACUGGGCGUAAAGCGUGCGCAGGCGGUUUUGUAAGUCAGAUGUGAAAUCCCCGGGCUCAACCUGGGAACUGCGUUUGAAACUACAAGGCUAGAGUGUGGCAGAGGGGGGUAGAAUUCCACGUGUAGCAGUGAAAUGCGUAGAGAUGUGGAGGAAUACCGAUGGCGAAGGCAGCCCCCUGGGUCAACACUGACGCUCAUGCACGAAAGCGUGGGGAGCAAACAGG
rnacentral:rRNA from 1 species